rnacentral:rRNA from 1 species
AACGAACGCUGGCGGCAUGCCUAACACAUGCAAGUCGAACGAGAACUUCGGGUCUAGUGGCGCACGGGUGCGUAACGCGUGGGAACCUGCCCUUAGGUUCGGAAUAACUCCCCGACAGGGGUGCUAAUACCGGAUAAUGUCUUCGGACCAAAGAUUUAUCGCCUUUGGAUGGGCCCGCGUUGGAUUAGCUAGUUGGUAGGGUAAAAGCCUACCAAGGCGACGAUCCAUAGCUGGUCUGAGAGGAUGAUCAGCCACACUGGGACUGGGACACGGCCCAGACUCCUACGGGAGGCAGCAGUGGGGAAUAUUGGACAAUGGGGGAAAGCCUGAUCCAGCAAGGCCGGGUGAGUGAUGAAGGCCGUAGGGUUGUAAAGCUCUUUUACCCGGGAUGAUAAUGACAGUACCGGGAGAAUAAGCUCCGGCUAACUCCGUG